CCCUUAGAUGCUCUGGGCUGCACGCGUGCUACACUGAUAUUGCCAAUAUGUCAUUCUUAUCCGAAAUGGAUUGGGUAAUCAAGUAAUGAAAUUUCAUGCUUGGAAUCGGUAAUUGCAAUUUUAUCGUGAACGAGGAAUUCCUAGUAAGCACUAGUCAUCAGCUAAUGUUGAUUAUGUCCCUGCCCUUUGUACACACCGCCCGUCGCUACUACUGAUUGGGUGUUCAAGUGAGAUGCUUAGACCCUUGUUGCAUGGUUCAUUAUUGUGCUCCGAAAGGAAAAAGUUUCAAGCUUGAGUGUCUAGAGGAAGUAAAAGUCGUAACA
rnacentral:rRNA from 1 species